CAUUAGAUGACUGAAAGUAAGUACUGGUCUCUUAAACCAUUAUAUAGUAAUCUAACAUAUACUUCUAAUGA
rnacentral:tRNA from 1 species